GAGGAAAAGAAACCAACAGGGAUUGCCUUAGUAGCGGCGAGUGAAGCGGCAAAAGCUCAAAUUUGAAAUCUGGCGCCUUCGGUGUCCGAGUUGUAAUUUGAAGAUUGUAACCUUGGGGUUGGCUCUUGUCUAUGUUUCUUGGAACAGGACGUCACAGAGGGUGAGAAUCCCGUGCGAUGAGAUGCCCAAUCCUAUGUAAGGUGCUUUCGAAGAGUCGAGUUGUUUGGGAAUGCAGCUCUAAGUGGGUGGUAAAUUCCAUCUAAAGCUAAAUAUUGGCGAGAGACCGAUAGCGAACAAGUACAGUGAUGGAAAGAUGAAAAGAACUUUGAAAAGAGAGUGAAAAAGUACGUGAAAUUGUUGAAAGGGAAGGGUUUGAGAUCAGACUCGAUAUUUUGUGAGCCUUGCCUUCGUGGCGGGGUGACCCGCAGCUUAUCGGGCCAGCAUCGGUUUGGGCGGUAGGAUAAUGGCGUAGGAAUGUGACUUUACUUCGGUGAAGUGUUAUAGCCUGCGUUGAUGCUGCCUGCCUAGACCGAGGACUGCGAUUUUAUCAAGGAUGCUGGCAUAAUGAUCCCAAACCGCCCGUCUUGA
rnacentral:rRNA from 1 species